AAAAAAUGUUGGCAAGGAUGUGGAGGAAAAAAAGGAAUCCUUAUAUACUGCUUGUGGGAAUGUAAACUUGAAUAGCCAUUAUAGAAGCCAGUAUGGAGGAUUUUAGGAAAAAAACUAAAAAUGUAUAUUAGAUAGAUAACCCAGCUAUACCAUAUCUUGGUAUUUACUGAAAGGAGUCCAACUCAACUAUCACAGAGAUACUUGCAAAUCAAUGUGUCUGCAGCGGUGCUCACCACAGAUAUGGAAUCCACCUAGUUGUCCAACGAGAGAGGACUAGAUAAAGUAUGUGGCAUAUAUACACAAGGGGAGAUUUUUCAGCCGUGUCAUUUGUAGGAAAAUAGAUACGGCUGGAAAUAACCAUUAAGGGAACUAAGCCAAUCUCAGACAAAUAUGUUUUCUCUCAUUUGUGGUUCCUAUAUUUUAUAUAGGUCACAGAACUAUGUAUGUGUAUGUUGCAUGAGUGUAGAAGUGAAGCUGUUAGGAGGGCCUAAGGCAAGGGAGACGAGCAAGGAAAGGUUUUAGGAGCUACGGGGGAGAAUCUUCUCAACACGUAAUAGAUACUUAGAACAUAUAAGCAUUUACAUCUUUUUCAUUUUGAAGUCUAGCUGGGCAUGGUUGUGCUUAUGUGCAUUCCCAGUACAUUGUGUGACGAGCGAACUACGUGAGAGGAGCCCCGUGCUCACUACAGCCCGGGGAAUUCUAUGACUGCUGCACACAGGAGUAGAGUCGGAGCACAGUACAUUAGUGUCACUGGACACGGGGCAGAUCGCAAUCAGGCUUUCAGAGAGGAAGAAAAGCCCAGGGUGCCCAGAUGUUGCUUCGUGCUUUCCUUGUGGGUCAUUAGUUAACAGGUAGCCUGCGCAGUCACAGUAUGACAUUUUGCCAGACCCGGAAGGAAUUCUAGCUGCUGUGGAGUUGAAAGAAAAAUAGAAAUAGGAGCGGUCACAGGGUGUUGAAGCUCCUGGAAUCUGACCUAGCCAGAGUGGAGUCAGCUUUUAACAUGCAGGCAUUCAGUUGAAAAGCCACACUUGAGAAGCGCUCCCUGACUAACUAUGCUUUGUUUGCCUUGACAAAGCCUAAAUUGUGUUUCACCAGGAGCAAGGAACAAGGAAAUUCACUGCCUCUCAAAAAAAUGUUCUCCCUUUUUUUUUUUUAAAGAACAUGUUUUCUUUCUUUGAGACAGGGUCUCAUGUAGCUCAGGCUAGCAUUAAACUGACCUCCACCCUUGAACUCUUCAUCUUGCCCCCCCCCUUUUUUUGGCUAUGGUUUUGUUUUUGGGUUUUGAGUCAUGGUCUCACCUUAAAACGCCCUGCCUAGUCUAGAACUCACUAUAUAAACCAGACUAGCCUCAGACUCGAGUGCUGGGAUCAAAGGCCUGUUUCAAUACUUUAUGUGGUGUGUAUAAUAUACAUGCAGGCAGAACAUACAUAGAAAAUCUUUUUUCAACAGACAAUAUAAAAAUUGGGCAUAAGGGGCUGAAGAGAUGGCUCAGAGGUUAAGAGCAUUGCCUGCUCUUCCAAAGGUCCUGAGUCCAAUUCCCAGCAACCAUAUAUGGUGGCUCACAACCAUCUGUAAUGGGAUCUGGUGCCCUCUUCUGGCCUCCAGGCAUACACACAGACAGAAUAUUGUAUACAUAAUAAAUAUUUUUUAAAAAUUGGGCAUAAGGCAGAAGGGUGAGGAAUUCAAGGUCAAUUUUAGCUACAUAGAGAAUCUAAGGCCAGCCUGGGAUACAGGACACACUAUCUUCACAAAAAAGGGCGGGUAGCACGUUUUAAGCACAGAUGUGGAGUAGCUGAAACCCUCCUCCAUUGCUGACGGAAAUGUAAUAUGGUGCCGCCUCUCUGAGAAAGUUGGGCACACUCAGCACAGCCAUUCAAAGAAAUCAAAAUAAAUGUCCCCAGGGACUUUUUAAGGCCAACCUGAGAUAGAGGAGAGAAUUUGUAAAGACACAAAACAGAUCCUUUGAGGAAUCUCCUUAGAUGGCAAUUUCAUAUUGGAUUUUAAAGAUGACUCAAACAGCUCUUGUUAUAGUUUGAGGGGAGACCGGCCCCAAAGGUUCAAGUGUUAAAAGUUUUUGGCCCUAGCCUAUGGCAUUAUUGGUAGGUGAUGGAAACUUGGAAAGAUCAAACCUAAUUGAAGGUCAUCUGGCCAUAGGCUGAAAGUUGUUGAAGGAGGAUAUUGCGACGCCAGGCUCCUCACCUUCCUGCCUUGUGUAUCAGGCAUUAGGUGGACCGAUUUGCCAUGUGUUGCAGCCAUAAUAUGCAACUUCAUUGCAGGCUCAUAAGCAAUAUGCUGAUAGUCUCAGGUAUUUGUAGUUUAAUAGAAAGCUAAAAUACUGAUAUUCAUAUGCCAGCUUUAUAAUUGUCACCAACUAGGGCCAGCCAUGGUGGAUCACACCUCUAAUCUUAGUACCAUGGGGAUGAGACCGCACUAGAGAGAGAAGCCCUAUCUGAAAUCAAAGCUAAAUAAAAAAGCCAAUAAUCAGAAAUGAUCCAAAUGUCUAUAGAAAAUGAAUGAGUAAACAAAAGGUCAUAUAAUCACUCAGUGGUGUACUGCUCAGCACAAAAAGGAACAUAUGAAUAUAAUAACAUAGGAACUUGAGAAACUAUAGAGGAGGAGUUGUAAAGAUGGCUCAGUGGUUACUGGCACCCACAUGGUACCUCAUGAGGGUGUAGAGGUGUGGGAAGUGAUAUGGACCUAAGUGCCAGACCUAAGUAUUCAAGUGUGUAAGACCCAGAUUAGAGAGAGACACUAGUUAGCCUAGUGUAGUGGGAGCGAGGGAGGGAGAGAGGGAGAGCAGAGCCCAUAAGUGCAGAUGCACCCAGGCCACUUGAUUGGAGACACAAAUUACUUCAUCAGUUAAAUACGAAGCAAGACCUUCAACUAAGUGGGAAGUAGGCAGGGAAUUUUAGAUCUGAUGCGAGAGGAAUGUUUUAAACGGUCUUCUGAUAGGUGAGUGCAAUUUUCUUUUAAAUACCAUAGAUCAAAAGCAUCCCUGAGUCAGGUGUGGUAGCACAUACCUGCAGUCCCAGGACUCGGAAGGCAGAGGCAGGAGGACGGCUGAGUAUGUGAAGCCAGCCUGGUCUACAAACCAGUUAUAGCCGUGGAUGCAUGGGAACACCCUGUCUGAAAAGCAGCAAAGAAAGAAAGAAUGUAAAAGUAAAGGAGGAAGAUGGAUGGCUACUACGGUUUUGAAGGUAGAUCCCUCUUGAAUGAGGUUAGUGCCCAGAUGGAGAGAGACUCAAGAGAGACCCUUGGCUCCUCCCACCGUAUAAAGACAGCGAAAGACACCACCUGUGACCCAGGGAGGAGGCUAGUAUGCUGGCAUCUCAGUAGUGGGAUUCCCAGCCUCUAGUGCUGGGAGACAUUUUUGUUGUUUCUGGGUCACCAGCCAUCUGUAACUAAGCGAACUGGAGAAGCAUAUGAAGGUUGCUGGGCAGUGUAAGGGGGGCCUGAAGAGGGUUAAAGUUAGCACCUUCACAGCCUCGCUCAAACUCGAAAGUUUUGUGUUUUUUUACAACAGUUAUUCCAUCUUUCUGAUACUGAUAGUGACGUGGAACAUUUCCACCUAUAUCUGUGGCCCGUCUUUUCAUUUUGUUUUCGUUUCUGCUUUGAAACAGGGUCUCAAAUUGUAACUGAGGCUGUCCUGGAACUCACUGUGUAGUGUAGGAAGGUCUCAAAGUUCUGGCAGUACUCUUACUUUGGCCUCCUGAGUGCUGGGAAUGCAGAGCCAGAGAAACAAGGAGAAGAGUAUCCCUACUUGUUGGAGCAGGUCCAUCGAUACCUCCCUACUCACUUCCGGUCCUUUGGUUUUGUACCAGUUUGUGCAGCCCAAAUAGUCUUGGGUAUGGAGCCACUUGGUGGAGUGUGGCCAACCUCCCAGAGAACACACCCUGGAAAGGAAUGGGUUGUCCAUCUCCCAGUGUGGAAAACCAAAGGACAGUUGUGGUAUCAUGCACAAGACCCUGUGUAAACUCAAUCCCAGUAUGCUGGGAGGAGGUAGGCAUGGAGGUCUUGCUUCUUCCUUUGCUAUACAGAGUGUUAUAACAUAGCCCAGUGUAGCUUCAAAGCGGGGAUCUGCAUGCCUCAGCUUUCUAGUUGCUGGGAUUCUGGGUUCACACUACUCCCCUUGGCUAAAGGAGGGAGAUUUUAGUGGCUAAAAUAAAGGCAAAUGCAAAGGCCCUGAGGUUUAGACUUAUCGAUGUGCAAAGAAUCCAUGGGAGGAGGAGCAGGCCAAGCGAGAAGUUUAGUAGGAAAUAUAUUUUAAAGUAGGCAGAGGCCAAAUCAUGCAGGCCUAGUUGUCUAUGGUAAGUACUUGCUUCCAUCCCAAGCAUGAUGAAAACCUCACUGAAUGAGUGAGAACACAAGGAAGAUAUCAGUUCUUUUCUAUUAUGUAUACAAUAGUCUGUCUGUGUAUAUGCCUGUAGGCCAGAAGAGGGCACCAGACCCCAUUACAGAUGGUAGUGAGCCACCAUGUGGUUGCUGGGACUUGAACUCAGGACCUUUGGAAGAGCAGGCAAUGCUCUUAACCUCUGAGCCAUCUCUCCAGCCCCCCUUUCUGUUAGUUAUUGAGAUAAGGUCUCAUGUAUCCUAGGCUGGCCUCAGAUUUGAUCUGUAAUGGAGGAAGAUCUUGAACUCCCGCCCCUCCUGCUGGGGUGACAGGAAUGAGUUAGCACUUCCUUAUAGUUCAUUUGUGUCUUAGAAGACUUGUUAUGAGCGUUGGGAAAUGCAUUAGUGCUGCUAGAGUGCCUGCUAGGCAUGCAUCAAACAUUGCACUGGAUGCCCAGCAGCAAAUACAAUGGGGCAUGGUAGCCCUUACCUGUAACCACACUGGGAGAUGGAGGCAGGAGGAACAGGAGUUCAAGAGCUGCAUGAGAUCUUGUCAAAAAAAUUACUAUCCUGCAGAUGGGGAGAGUGUUAAGGUUAAGACCGCUUUCUGUUCUUGCAGAGGACCUGAAUUUGGUUCUCAUCGGCCACAUCAGUCAGCUCACAACUGCCUAUAACUCUAGCUCCAGAGUAUCCUGGCUUUCCUGGACAAUGCCACUCAUAUGCACAAACCCACAUGUGAGUUCACACACACGCACACACAUGUACAUACACACACACACUUGAAAAUAAUAAAAAAAUAGAAUUUUAAAUGUCCUAUCUCCCUGUG